AUGGUCUAUAUAAACCCACGGCUGCAUAUAUGUUCCAACUCGAACACAAUUGUGAACAAAAACUGCAGCACCAUGAACAUGAAGGCAUGCUUGUCCAUGUUAACCUACCUUGUCUUCCUUACCUUCUUGUUCUCCUGGCCGGCCACCUCGGCAGCCCUGCGCGCCCAUCUCUCCCACAUCGACAGUGGUCGCGGGUUCACAAAACGCGAGCUGCUCCACCGGAUGGUCGUUCGGUCGAGGGCCCGUGCUGUCAAUCUUUGCCCAUAUUCCCGAACGAACGCCCACCCGGCGACCGCACCGGUGGGACGCGUCAACACGGACGUAAACUCCGAGUACCUAAUCCACUUGAGCAUCGGCGCGCCACGCUCGCAGCCUGUGACACUGACGCUGGACACCGGCAGCGACGUCGUCUGGACGCAGUGCGAGCCCUGCGCCGAGUGCUUCACCCAGCCUUUGCCCAGGUUCGACACCGCCGCCUCCAACACCGUCCGCAGCGUCGCGUGCUCCGACCCUCUUUGCAAAGCCCAUUCGGAACACGGCUGCUUCCUCCACGGGUGCACCUACGUCUCCGGUUAUGGAGACGAAUCAAGGUCAUUUGGCCACUUCCUCCGGGACUCUUUCACCUUUGACGACGGCAAAGGCGGCGCGGUCACCAUGCCGGAUAUUGGCUUUGGCUGUGGCAUGUACAAUGUCGGCAAAUUUUUACGAACUGAGACUGGCAUCGCGGGGUUCGGCCGCGGGCCACUGUCGCUGCCUUCGCAGCUCAAGGUCCGGCAGUUCUCCUACUGCUUCACCGACAGGUUCGAGGCCAAGAGCAGCCCCGUGUUCCUCGGCGCCGCGGGCGACCUCAAGGCGCAUGCCACAGGGCCGACCCUCUCCACUUCGUUCGUACGGAACCCUUCUCCGAACACCGACAGCUCCUCCUACUACUUCCUCAGUUUCAAAGGGGUCACGGUCGGCGAGACGCGGCUGCCGGUUCCCGAGUCGGCAUUCGCGAUCAAGGCCGAUGGCUCCGGCGGGACGAUCAUCGACAGCGGCACGGACCUCACCACAUUUCCGGAUGCCGUGUUCAGGCAGCUGAAGAGCGCAUUCAUCGCGCAGGUGGCACUGCCAGUCAAUAAGACCGCGGACGAGGACGACAUAUGCUUCUCCUGGGAUGCCAAGAAGACGGCGCCCAUGCCGAAGCUCAUCUUCCAUCUGGAGGGUGCGGACUGGGACCUGCCGCGGGAGAACUACGUGACGGAGGACCAUGAGUCCGGCCAGGUGUGCGUGGUGGUAAGUACGUCGGGCCAGAGGGAUAUGACGCUCAUAGGCAACUUCCAGCAGCAGAACACGCACAUCGUCUACGAUUUGGCGGCAGGUAAGUUGCUCUUGGUGCCGGCGCAGUGUGACAAGCUGUGA
rnacentral:rRNA from 1 species